UACGUAGGGGGCAAGCGUUGUCCGGAAUCAUUGGGCGUAAAGAGCGUGUAGGCGGCUCGAUAAGUCUGCUGUGAAAGUCCAGGGCUCAACCCUGGAAGGCCGGUGGAAACUGACGGGCUAGAGUCCGGAAGAGGCGAGUGGAAUUCCCGGUGUAGCGGUGAAAUGCGCAGAUAUCGGGAGGAACACCAAUGGCGAAGGCAGCUCGCUGGGACGGUACUGACGCUGAGACGCGAAAGCGUGGGGAGCAAACAGG
rnacentral:rRNA from 1 species